rnacentral:rRNA from 1 species
UACGUAGGGUGCGAGCGUUGUCCGGAAUUAUUGGGCGUAAAGGGCUCGUAGGCGGUUUGUCGCGUCGGGAGUGAAAACGCCGGGCUUAACUCGGUGCUUGCUUCCGAUACGGGCAGACUAGAGGCAUGCAGGGGAGAACGGAAUUCCUGGUGUAGCGGUGAAAUGCGCAGAUAUCAGGAGGAACACCGGUGGCGAAGGCGGUUCUCUGGGCAUGUCCUGACGCUGAGGAGCGAAAGUGUGGGGAGCGAACAGG